GGAUCCCCCUACCCCUAACAAAAAACCCUAAUUUCACUCCUCUAAGAAGAACAAAAAAAUCAGGCGCCUGAGCUCCCUCACACUCUUCAAAGAGACCACAUUCACGCAGAGAGAGACGGGAAUAUCUAUUCAUUCAUACUCGCUACGCUCAUCUCAUUCACAAUGACACACAUUCAGUCAUUCCUUCACCAGCUAAAACACACACGCAGAACUCACAGUCCAGAUAGCUUAAACAAAAGUGUUGAAUUCUUAUUGAAUCUUAGAUCCGACAUAGGAAACAUAUUCAAAAAAUAAAGAGAUAAAUCAAGAGGAAAACAGCAUAAAAGAGGGAUUUCUGUAGCUGUGGAAUUGUAGUUUAUUUGCUCUCAUCUUCUGGGUUCUAAGAGGUGAAACCCUUGCGGUUUGCUGCUAAUUAUUGGCUAGGAAUGUUAGUUGAGCUUCAUCAUUUUCUUCCUCUCCAUUUUUCUGUUGAAAUUAGUCAUGCUCUUUGCAAUUAAGAUACUAUUUCUUCGAUGUAGAUAUGUUGUUUUAAAAGAAGAUUUGUGUUGAUAUUAUUAGUGAUACUUUAUCGUUUAAAGCUCAUGACAUGCUUUCUCAUGGUUAAACUUGAUGAAUUUAGACUUUCAAUAAGAUUUUGCCUGAAACAAUCUAUGAUUCCCCUGUAGUUUAGUUGUGAUGAUUGAUGUUUGUUUGCCCGAAUUGUUGUUUCAUUGUUAUUAUAAUUUGAUUCAUGUGGGUUGAAGUGUACAGAGCUGACAUUGAAGUGAUCAGAUCUGUUAUCUCAUGUGCCCAAGCUACGGGAUUGGCUGAACUAUUUGGAUGGAACUAAACACCCAUUGCUCAUUUCGUUUUAAAAUCAGUAAGCAUUAGAUGAAAUGGAACUUAGAGUAAAGUCUUCAAACUUAAUUAUUGUUGAUUGAUAUAGUGAUUGUAUAUGUUAUAGAUUCCCUUACCCUAUUUGCCUUGUGUUUGUUGCUUGGGUGAGGAAGAGUGUAAAGCACGAAGGGUGAUGUCGUGUAUUGUUUUGGUAAGAGAGUGUUAAAGCACGAAGAG
rnacentral:lncRNA from 1 species